rnacentral:rRNA from 1 species
AUUGAACGCUGGCGGCAGGCUUAACACAUGCAAGUCGAGCGGAGAGAGGUAGCUUGCUACUGAUCUUAGCGGCGGACGGAUGGGUAAUGCUUAGGAAUCUGCCUAUUAGUGGGGGACAACAUUUCGAAAGGAAUGCUAAUACCGCAUACGUCCUACGGGAGAAAGCAGGGGAUCUUCGGACCUUGCGCUAAUAGAUGAGCCUAAGUCGGAUUAGCUAGUUGGUGGGGUAAAGGCCUACCAAGGCGACGAUCUGUAGCGGGUCUGAGAGGAUGAUCCGCCACACUGGGACUGAGACACGGCCCAGACUCCUACGGGAGGCAGCAGUGGGGAAUAUUGGACAAUGGGCGGAAGCCUGAUCCAGCCAUGCCGCGUGUGUGAAGAAGGCCUUAUGGUUGUAAAGCACUUUAAGCGAGGAGGAGGCUACUUUAGUUAAUACCUAGAGAUAGUGGACGUUACUCGCAGAAUAAGCACCGGCUAACUCUGUGCCAGCCGCCGCGGUAAUAC